rnacentral:rRNA from 1 species
GACGAACCGUGCGAACGUUGUUCGGAAUCACUGGGCUUAAAGGGCGCGUAGGCGGCUUGCCAAGUCAGGGGUGAAAUCCUGCAGCUUAACUGUAGAAGGGCCUUUUGAUACUGGCGAGCUCGAGGGAGGUAGGGGUAUGUGGAACUUCCGGUGGAGCGGUGAAAUGCGUUGAUAUCGGAAGGAACGCCGGUGGCGAAAGCGACGUACUGGACCUCUUCUGACGCUGAGGCGCGAAAGCUAGGGGAGCAAACGGG